rnacentral:rRNA from 1 species
UACGGAGGGUGCAAGCGUUAUCCGGAUUCACUGGGUUUAAAGGGUGCGUAGGCGGGCAGGUAAGUCAGUGGUGAAAUCUCGGAGCUUAACUCCGAAACUGCCAUUGAUACUAUCUGCCUUGAAUAUUGUGGAGGUUUGCGGAAUAUGUCAUGUAGCGGUGAAAUGCUUAGAUAUGACAUAGAACACCAAUUGCGAAGGCAGCAGGCUACACACAUAUUGACGCUGAGGCACGAAAGCGUGGGGAUCAAACAGG